GUCAGGAUGGCGGAGUGGUCUAAGGCGCCAGACUCAAGUUCUGGUCUUCGAGGGAGGGCGUGGGUUCAAAUCCCACUUCUGACA
rnacentral:tRNA from 1 species